GUGAAUCAUCGAAUCUUUGAACGCACAUUGCGCCCCUUGGUAUUCCAUGGGGCAUGCCUGUUCGAGCGUCAUUUGUACCUUCAAGCUCUGCUUGGUGUUGGGUGUUUGUCUCGCCAUUGCGCGUGGACUCGCCUUAAAGCAAUUGGCAGCCGGCAAAAGCCUGGGAGCGCAGCACAUGCGUUGCUUUCAGACUGCUUGUCGAGCGUCCAGCAAGCCUAUUUUCUUGCGUUUGACCUCGGAUCAGGUAGGGAUACCCGCUGAACUUAAGCAUAUCAAUAAGCGGAGGA
rnacentral:misc_RNA from 1 species